GGCAGGCCUCCUUGAGUUGUGGUGGGCUCCACCCAGUUCGAGCUUCCCGGCUGCUUUGUUUACCUAAGCAAGCCUGGGCAAUGGCGGGCGCCCCUCCCCCAGCCUCGUUGCCGCCUUGCAGUUUGAUCUCAGACUGCUGUGCUAGCAAUCAGCGAGAUUCCGUGGGCGUAGGACCCUCUGAGCCAGGUGUGGGAUAUAGUCUCGUGGUGCGCCGUUUCUUAAGCCGGUCUGAAAAGCGCAAUAUUCGGGUGGGAGUGACCCGAUUUUCCAGGUGCGUCCGUCACCCCUUUCUUUGACUUGGAAAGGGAACUCCCUGACCCCUUGCGCUUCCCAGGUGAGGCAAUGCCUCGCCCUGCUUCGGCUCCCGCACGGUGCGCACACACACUGGCCUGCGCCCACUGUCUGGCACUCCCUAGUGAGAUGAACCCGGUACCUCAGAUGGAAAUGCAGAAAUCACCCGUCUUCUGCGUCGCUCACGCUGGGAGCUGUAGACCGGAGCUGUUCCUAUUCGGCCAUCUUGGCUCAAGACCCCAGUUUUGAUACAUUUAUAAGCUUUACACCCUGCCAUAGAAUAUUGGGUUCCCAGGGAGAUACUACUUCCACCAGCAGACAUAAUCAAGUUCCAACUAAAUUUUAGAUUCCUCAUACUUGUGGACCAACAGGCUAGCGACAAGUGGUACAACCUGUGAUGCUGGGCAGCAGCAGAGAACUACAGCUCCCAGUCAGCCACAUGAUCACAAGGAUAAACAACUGAUACUCUGCAGUGUGAUGUGCUGCCAGGUGAUUUUGCCCAAUUGUGGGCUAAUGGCUGCUGGAAUUUAUGAUCUCCUACCAAAACUGAAGUAACUGUAACUCUUACUAUGGGGAACUUUGAAAAAGAGGUAAAAAGGAAAAUAAAAAUAAGAUAGCUUCUAGUCUGUUGAAAUUGCAACAAGCAACUGGCCGAAUGAAACAUUGCUUUUAAUCCCAGAAAAUCAGUUUCAGGGAGUUUCUGUGAUAUAUUAUGCUUCUAAUGCUUUAUGACAUAACAUGCCCACAUUCCUCUGUUUAAUUCAAUGGAUAUUUUUUAGCCAACUGCUACAAGAUCAAGCCAAAGACUUAUUCCAGCUCCUACUAGACUCCAGUGUAAGUGGUUGAAAGCCUGUGGCCUCCAAAACCACAGUUGACAUCUCAAGGAUUCAAAUACUUCCAGUAUUCAUGGAGCUUCAUGCGUUCUGUCUGUAAAAUCUAAUUUCUCAAAAUUUAUCAUCCAUGUGUUAACAUCUUAAUGAAAAUUAGGUAAAAGAUAACUUUUUCAAUAGUACAUUUUGGGCUAUGUGGACACACCUCCUGAGAAAUGGAAAUUCAGUCAAGUGGGGAGAUUUUCAUUUAAAACGUCUAAUUUCAGUCUAGCAAGAUACUAUCUGUGGCAAAGGAACAGCAAUUUUAAGAUCAAAUUGCUUAUUGCCUUUGAAGGUUAAAAGGGGCCAAACUUUUGUGAUCAAAAAGGAUCAUAGUAAAUGAUAAUGGAAAGAUGGUCAAGAUCAUAUUUUUAAAAAUUUUUGGUAAGGAUUCUUCAGUCUUAACAACUCUAAUGUUUAAUAAUUAUUAUGAUAAAUUUUUACUAUUUUCUAACUCUUUAAGCAAGAGAUGGGAUCAAAAUGACAGAGUAAGAAUUCAUAGAAGCACCCCUAUCCCACCCCAAACCCAUACAAACAACAGAAACAUGUUUGAAAUAUAAAGAAAUUCACAAAGCUAGUGGAAAACAAGGCAUGACCUAAGUGAACAAGAAAGUAUAAAAAAAACUUUUUUAGAUUUUGACUUAAUAUAUAAAUACAUAUUUUUACAGAUGGGGUCUUGUUAUGUUGCUCAGGCUGAACUUGAACUCCUGGGCUCAAAUGAUCCUGCUGGACUCAGCCUCCCCAGUAGCUGGGACUACAGACACAUGUCACCAUGCCCAGCAAAAAUUAUUUAAAUGACAGAAUGCCAAAAGGCUAAAAACAAUUUUAAAUAAAAACAGUGGCGAACAGCCCCAAGAUAGCUGCAAGAUUUUGGGGGAGUAGGGUACACUGCCAAUUAGAGGAGUAGAGGUGGCCCACAGGCUAUGGGUGGUUGAAUACCAGUGUGCUCCAAAAAAGGGGAGAAAAGAGAGUUUAAAAGAAAAACAGACAGACCUAGAGGAUAGGUAGAAAUCCUUAAACACAUAAGUAAUAAUAGUAGUUCACAAAACAGAGAAUAGAUACAGCAGACUGGAGGGAAUGCUUCAGUAAAUUAUAACUGAAUAUUUCUCAAACCUAAAUAAAAGCAUUAGCCCUCACAAUCAAAGGAAUGAGGGAUUUUAGAGGAAAAUAAGCAGACACAGAUCAGUUAAUAUUAGAAUUAAACUGAAUUGUCAAUAAUAUUUGAUACAAGAAGAUGGUGGGACUAUAUAUUUAAGGUCCUGAAAUAUACCACUUUGAACUUAAAAUUCUCUUUUCUUUUUUUAAAAUUGAUAUAUCAGAGUUGUACCUAUUUUGGGGGUAUAUGUGACUCUUUUUAUACAUGUAUAUAAUGUGUAAUGAUGAAGUCAGGGUAAUUGGGAUAUCUAUCACAUCAAACAUUAAUCUUUUAUGUGUUGGAAAAAAUACAGUUUUUCUCUUCUAGUUAUUUUGAAAUAUGCAAUAAACUAUUAACUAUAAUUUCCCUACUGCACUAUCGAAUAUUAAAACUUUUUCCUUCUAUCUAACCAUAUUUUUGUACCCAUUAACCAACUUCUUUUCAUCCUCCAAAACCGAAAAUGCUUUACUCCCAAGCUAUAAUUCAUAUUUUAAAAGCAAAAUAAAGACAUUUUCAAGUAUGUGGGAUUCUAAGUCUAUUACUGUCAGACACUAUCUGAAAGAAUCACUACAGGAGGUAUUAAAGUAUAAUAAAAAAAUGAAUACAAGAGGAAGACCAAGCAAAGAUGUAAUGGUGAGCAAAGAAACAGUAAGAUGUAUGAUAAAGUACCAAUAAGUAUGCAUUGUAAUUUUUUAAAUUCCAGUAACAAUUUAGAAUUUAAAUCACAGGUGCUAUCAACAGGAGAAGUGUCAAAAAAAAAGAAGAAGAAAUUAAAGUGUUCUAAGAUUCUGGUCUUGUUCUCGGGAGAAUAUAACUCAUAGCAUGCUGAGAAUACAAAGUAAGAAACAUUCUUGACUCAAUAAAUGGAAGCUGCAAGAACUGCACAGCAUAGUGACCACAGUUAAUAGUAAUGUAUUGUAUAUUUCAAAACUGCUAAGAAGGUAGAUUUUAAAUGUUCUCACAAGAAAGAACUGAUAAGUAUGUGAGGUGAUGGAUAUGUUAGUCUGAUUUAAUCAUUCUACAAUGUAUACAUGUAUCAUAACAUUACAUUGUGCCUCACAAAUAUAUACAAUUAUUUGUCAAAUAAAAAUAAAAUAACAUUAAGAAAAAAGUCAAGAGCAACCAUCAUAUUUACUGGGGAAAAUUAGUUAGAUAUAACAAUAUACUGGACUUUUUCAUUACAUAGGCUUAUAAUUUUUUUUAAAAAAAAGAGUGGUAUAACACUUAAAAUGAAAUGGACACAUUUUAAGGAAGAAACUGAUAGUUGCCUACUCAAUAGUACUUUCUCCUUUUUCUUUUAUAACAAACUUCAGAUUUUCCCACAGACUCACAUUAAAAAAGUUAUUUCACAUGUAAUGUUAGCAAGGAUGUAAGGAAAUGGGUACUCCCCUGUUGAAGGGAAUAAAUUGGUAUAACCUCUUUGAAGGGCUAUUUUUUUCUGUCCUAUUAAAAUUUUAAAUGUGCAUACACAUUGAUCCAAAAAUUUUUCUUAUCCAAAUCCACCCUGGAGAUAUAUAUGUAUGCAUGUAGACAUAUAAGAAGAUGUUCACUGUGGCAUUGUCAUAGUGUAACUUGGAAACAAAUGUCCAUCAGAAAGAAAAUGGUUUAACAAACUAAAGUUUCAUACUUGUCACUCAUUCACAAAUAUUUAUUGAACACCAAUUAUGUGCCAUUCACUGUUCUAAGGCCUUGGGGAUGUAUUAGCAAACAAAUUCCGAAAAUAAACCUUUCAUUCUAGGGGAGGAAGACAGACAAUGAAGAAAUAAAUCUAUUACAUGUCAGGUAGUGAUAAAUAUAAAGAAAAAUAAAACAAGUUAAGGGGAAACAGAGAGGGAGAAUGAAUGGGAGGAUAUAGGAAUUGGAGAGGAACAUCAAGGAACUUCUGAUGAGGCUGUAUUUGAGUAGAGACUUGAAUAAAGUAAGGAAAUGAGGCAAGAAAAUAUUGAGGACUGGAGCUUCUCAGUCAAGGAGACAGGUGGGUUUGUGUUCCACGUGUUCCAGAAACAUCAAGACACAGCCAGUGUGAGCAGAAAGGAGUGGGUAAGGAGGAGGAUGCAAUGAGAGAUGAGGUGGCCAUACUCCAUAGAUGCCAUCAAGUAAGAAUUUGGGAUUUUAUUCUAAGUCUACUGGAUAACAUAUAGCUAUUAAAAUUAAUAAUGUAAGUAUAUAUGCCCUGAUAUAAAGAGCCUGCAGGACACACAGACUAACAAAUUUGCAGAACAAUACAUAGCUGUUAACACCUUUUAUAUUAAAA
rnacentral:lncRNA from 10 species